GAGCAAUUUAGUCUCUCUGGGUCGGUCGUCGCGUUAACACUUUUUCGAUGGGUGCGAUCAGCGCGUAGAAUAUCUUGAAAAGUUUGUUCUCAAGGUUAUUAGUCGAAGGUGAAAAAUGAAUGAAUUAUAAAUUAUCGGCGGAAGUGAAUACUGAUGGUUGAUGUACUAAUUAUAAAUUUCCGUUGCAAACCAGUUAAUUCAGAAUUGUUAUCAUAGUUGAUCGAUGGGAUCCUAAAACUGGUUUUCUUUGUUCUAUCGCUUGCAUUUCCUUGAAGAAACCGUGAGAGUGAGUGUGCAUGUUUCCUUUCAUUCCUAGUGCCAGAAAUCGACGCCCGGAUAAAGAACACUACCGAUUUUUUAAAGAAGACAAGGCAUGGUGGCCGUGAAUCGUUGUAUGCACUUGUGCGGCAGUAGUGCGGAAGCAUCUGGAUGAUGGUUUUAUGACUUGUGUUGGAGAAGAACGCAAGUCCGGCAUCGCGAUAGAAUAUCAAACCCCAGUCAUCGCUGAGAACUGCACGCAGCAACCUGCACUCCGAUCGGAGAUUGCAAAUUCUUUUCUUCUGGAUAAUUGAUGUUUAUUUCAAGUGAUUUGUGAUGAGGCAUGCAUCCGUAUGGGUGUGCAUCCUGACAUUCUACAACCUCCAAUCUUCUUCGUUAGCCGCAAUCGUUCCACCACCAUGGAGUGACCCGAAUAAAAACCCCUGUGCUAGCCAGCCGGGAGGGUGGCAACUUCUCUAUUGGCCUCCUCUCAAGAAAUGUUUCAAAAUCUUCCAGCUUGGCUAUCCAUGCCCGGAAACAAUGGAGCUCAGUCCUGUUGGCGUAGGUUCCACCAGCACCGGAUCUACGGCUGAGUGUCGCUGUCCACCAGGAACCGCGCAAUCUCCGUUGACAAAAAGAUGCCAUCUACUGUUCGAACGAGGACCGUGUGAAUUUGGACAAUUUUUUGCACCGAUUGCGGAUUCAGAUGUGAAGAGUGCCAUACCGAAACAACGAUGGGGUACGUGUAAAUCGGCGGAAAUAUGUGAGAGUGGAAUGGUUUACUGGCCACAGGACAACAAAUGCUACCAGAUGCAUACCAAAGGACCCUGUACAAAAGGGAAAUUGAUGAGCUUAGAUAACGAUGGGAUAGCUAAAUGCAAGUGUGAAAAUGAAGGAGAAUUGAGUAAUUAUUUCUAUGAGGAGACAGAAACAUGCCAUGAAUUUUUUACUAAAGGACCAUGUUUGCGCACAGGGGAACUAUUUCUACCUUCUAAAAAAUGUGCAUGCCAUCAACGGUUACCGCAUUUCCAUAACGAAUCAAAUCAAUGUUACGAAAUUGGUACAAUUGGGCCUUGUCCUAUUGGGCAUACCUUCAUUAUUGCUGAUAAAAGAGGUCAACAAGAGGUAAGCUUAAUGAAGGCAGAAUGCCGCUGUAAAGAAAACUACGUGCUAUGGGCAAAUGGCUAUUGCUAUAAAUUGUACACACAAGGUCCGUGCGAAACAGGUUCGUUUUUGAUAGAUGCAAAUGUCUGUAUACCAAAUCCUUGUGAAAAAGGCAGAUUGUAUUUUCCCAAAGAAAAAACUUGUUAUCGAAUUGGCUCACAGGGUCCUUGCAGUCUCCAUCAAGUCGUGAUAUUUGACUUUACGACAAGACCCUCUUUGGACGGCAUUUCCUAUAACGGAAUCUGCGGCUGUUCUGGAGUUAUCCAUAAUCUGGAUCAAUCAUGCACAGAUGAUGAAGUUCCUAAAAGUGCUUGCGAUAGCACGCCUGAUAUGAUAGAGAUAAAUAAGCAGUGUUAUAAGCUUUAUACCCGCGGACUUUGUGGUCCUGGGCAGUGGCUGGAACCGAAGAAGACAUCGUCCAAUUUACGUGCAGCUACUUGUGUUUGUCGACCAGGAUAUACUCCGUACGAAGCACCGCUCCAAAACGGCGUAAUCGGCUGUCAACCCCCAGCCGUAGGACUUGCCAGGUAUUUGAAUAGGAAACGGAUCCUUUCGAUUAGAAUUGGAAAUAUUACGUUAGCUAUUCCACAAUAGCAAAGUAGCACUAACAAACCAUCGAUACUAAUCUAUUACCAAGCAUGUAACGCUAUUGUAACACAAAUGCAGUCGAUGACGCUAACUCUUUCCUUUAGUAGGUGUAACAGCAUGGACCGGUUAUGAAAGUUGGUGGUUCAUGAGUCUAUUAGGAUUUGCAUCGCCAGAACCAGAAGAAUACUGAGUUACCAAAAACAAGCGUGCUGUGGCAACGGAGUAUCCCGAUAAGCAACGAGAUAUUCACGAUAUUAGAUUGUAAGCUGUUAAGCAGGAAAUAUUCUGAUCGACCCCAGUCAAGUAAGCAAGUACAUUGCCUUCUAGCAAGUUAAUAGUUACGAUAAGUUAGAGUGCCAUAGUCGCAGAAAUGGUGUAAUAAAAAUACAUGGAACAUUCCAAAUGCCGAUGCCGACUGACUAGCUUAGGUGAAAUGAAAUGUACAAUAAAAGAAAAACAGAAAACAUAUUA